rnacentral:lncRNA from 1 species
UUCUCUAUUUCUCUAUCCAUUGAUUGGAAGAUAACGUAUUACCAAUUGAACUAUGUUUUCCAAUUUCAAGGCAUGUACAUAUAUACCAUAGUAUCAUAGUGGGCUACUCGUAAGGUUAUAUAGCCCAAGACUAUUGAUAGACCCUCAUAAGGCCCAUUGGAUUGAAAAUUAGAAGUUUUAAAUUACUCUAAAUCAUAUCCUCUAUCUAUUUAUUUUUUUCUCAUUUUGCUACACUCAUUUUCCGGCCAAACUUAG